GACGAACGCUGGCGGCGUGCUUAACACAUGCAAGUCGAACGGUAAGGCCCUUUCGGGGGUACACGAGUGGCGAACGGGUGAGUAACACGUGAGGAACCUGCCCUUGACUCUGGGAUAACAGUGGGAAACUUCUGCUAAUACCGGAUAUUCAGAUUCUGCCGCAUGGUGGGGUUUGGAAAGCUUUUGUGGUCAAGGAUGGUCUCGCGGCCUAUCAGCUUGUUGGUGAGGUAAUGGCUCACCAAGGCGUCGACGGGUAGCCGGCCUGAGAGGGCGACCGGCCACAUUGGGACUGAGAUACGGCCCAGACUCCUACGGGAGGCAGCAGUGGGGAAUAUUGCACAAUGGGCGGAAGCCUGAUGCAGCAACGCCGCGUGCGGGAUGACGGCCUUCGGGUUGUAACCGGCUUUCGAGUAGGGACGAGCGCAAGUGACGGUACCUACAGAAGAAGCACCGGCUAACUACGUGCCAGCAGCCGACGGUAACUAUAGCGUACU
rnacentral:rRNA from 1 species